GGAACAAUAUCUCAAGGAGAAACAGAUCAUUAUUGACGACAAUCGAAAUUUUAUUUCUGAGAAAAACAAAGUUAUAGCCAAACUGUCAUCAAAUGAGAAACAGAUCAUAACUGACCUUAAAGAAAAGGAGUUGUACAUAGCCAAGCU